GACGAACGCUGGCGGCGUGCCUAAUACAUGCAAGUCGAGCGCAGGAAACUGACGGAACUCUUCGGAGGGAAGGCAGCGGAAUGAGCGGCGGACGGGUGAGUAACACGUAAGGAACCUGCCUCAAGGAUUGGGAUAACUCCGAGAAAUCGGAGCUAAUACCGGAUAGUUCAACGGACCGCAUGGUCCGUUGAUGAAAGGCGCUUCGGCGUCACCUUGAGAUGGCCUUGCGGUGCAUUAGCUAGUUGGUGGGGUAACGGCCCACCAAGGCGACGAUGCAUAGCCGACCUGCGAGGGUGAUCGGCCACACUGGGACUGAGACACGGCCCAGACUCCCACGGGAGGCAGCAGUAGGGAAUCUUCCACAAUGGACGAAAGUCUGAUGGAGCAACGCCGCGUGAGUGAUGAAGGUUUUCGGAUCGUAAAACUCUGUUGUAAGGGAAGAACACGUACGAGAGGGAAUGCUCGUACCUUGACGGUACCUUACGAGAAAGCCACGGCUAACUACGUGCCAGCAGCCGCCGUAA
rnacentral:rRNA from 1 species